rnacentral:lncRNA from 1 species
UGUCAAUCUAAUGCUGAGAGCCCGCGCUAAAACCAGGACGUGUCUGAACCGUGAUGAGCACACGAGAUAUUCGUUAUGACUGUUUAUGAUCACACAAUGUAAAAAUCGAUCAGCUGAUUUCACAGAUUGCAACACAUGUUCAUGGACUUUUAUCGAUGUGACGAUGUUCACAGUGGACAUAUUUUUCCCGGAAACGAACGUGUGGACCUCUGGCAAUGCCUUAGGAGCGUCUUUUUAAAAAUAUUGCUGAAAAGAGGAUAUUUAUGAGGCUUUAUAGACCGGCAUGGCAGUGGAUCACAGAACAUGAGGGACACAAAGGCAAGAAUGAUGAAACCAAGAAAAAGACUGAGUGCGACAGAAACUUGGAGUAGAGGAUGUGCACAAAGAUAUAUUCUUGCAUUUUCUCUUCCUGUUGCUAGAUCUGCCAGUGAUCUGAUUGAUUUCAAAGUAUUUUAUCUGUAUGAUGUGUGCAAUACUGCU